GGGGCACUCACCUGGGUGAGCGCCACCACGUCGUCCUGAGGCACUGUUCUUGUUAAGGUUAUUAGGGAAGAUGUUUGCCGCUAAUCAGUGGAGGACUUCUGGGACCCCCACUAAACGGUCUCAUCAUCAGAGGGCCCCACCGGUGAUAAAUUUAGCCCAAGGCAUCCACAGGGCCUGCAGACACAAAGCCUGCACGUUUUAUGCUUUUUUUUCUUUUUGCAGAAGAACACAUUUAUAAUUGGUGAUUUGAGCAAAAAUUAGGAUUUUAAUAAGGAUUCUUUGCUUGUGUGAUUGUUAGCAUUAAUGACCUUAAUUAAAAGCACAAAAAUCCAAUUAUAUAAAACACAAAAAAAUAAUAUGCAAAAAGCAGUUUUUUUUUGUGUUUUGGUUCCGAUUCCUCCCUUUCAUCCUCCAUCUUUCUCCAACUAUCCGUCUCUCCCGUUUCCCCCCAGUCUGUGAUCUAGCCGGGGGCGAGCAGACGUGUAAUGUUAAGACACUAACCACCGAGUGUGUGGACACACACACACACAAACCCAGCUGAAGGAGACGUUCAUGUGUGAAAUGAGAUCUCUGCACAAUCAGUGGGAGUCGCAUCCAUAAAGCACAUCCAGCUUUUUUAGCUUUAAGAUAAAACCAUUCAUGGAAAUCAGACAACCAACUGUUACGUCCAUGAGGGGACUUUUCCAGCAGAAGAGAGCAGAACAUAUCACAUUACAGUAGAUAACGAAACAAUAACUAAUCAAGUUAGAGAUUUUGAGAGUGAGAUGUUUUGUACAAUUAAUAACAUUUAAUAACAUAAACUUGUCUUUCUAAUAAACUGUCAAUCAAACAGAAAAUGUCACAUUUAUGAUUAAGCUUAUUGCAGAAUUAAGACUCUGCAUUAUAUACAAAUUUUGUCACAACACAAACAGACGGUCUCCCACAUUUUGUCAUUUGCAGUAGAAUUUUCACAAACUUUAGACAUUGUCAGGUUGUGUAUUUCAUAUUUAUUCCCUUAUUUACCAAGAAGAAACAAUAUAUCAUAAUAUGAUUAUAUGCUCCAUUCGUCCCUGACAUUUAACUAGGCUGAAAUAUGUUAGUAUGCUAAAACAGAGACACGGGAGGCUGCGAUGGGAGGCGCAGACUGAUAGAUGGCUACAUCACUUCCACCCAGAGGAGAGAGACAGAUAAAAAGACGGACACGCUGAGCACCAGGGGAUAAAAUUAGGAUCAGUGGCACAAAUAAAACAGGCUGGGACGGACGGAGAAGAUGAUAUUUACGGCAUUUUUAUCAAGGCUGAGGAAAUUCAUAUUUAUUUUUGUCAAUAUCUACUGCAGAACCAGUAGUCUUAUUGUGGACACUGGGCUCAUUCAAUUGUGAAUUUACUGACAAAAUCGUGAAAUUUAAUGUGAAAAAGUUGAACAAGGACCUCACAUUUAUCUGAUAUGACAGUUUGAUUGAUUCUCAUACAAAGUCUUAGUGCAGGAUGGUUUUUCAGACACAUGGAGGAACCACAGCAGGUAACAGAGAGAGUGGAAGUCGCAGGCUGGUGUGGAGCACGGUGCCAGCAGCGCAGCAGACAGAGGGCAGGGAGUUUGGGAUGUUUUAAUAAAUCGAGUGAGUGACUCCACUCAUUUCUGCCCGUGGGACGAAUUGAGUCGUGUUCACUGGCGCACUGGAACAUCAGGGGAUUGUGGGUAAUGAGAGAUUAUUCUCCCCUGUAGUGUUUGCUCAUCAUCACCCCCCCCCAAACCUUCCUUACCUCAUGAAAAGCCCUCCACACACACACACACACACACACAGAUUUAGCAUUUAAAUGCAGGUGUGUAACAUGAAUCAUGCAUACACGCUGUUAGUUUUUGUGAGUAAGGUCAAACAGUGAGGUGUUAUUGUUCAAAUCCGCUGCUGGCACCAAUUCUGUAUGUCACACUUUGUGAAACACACCCACACACACACACACACACACACACACACACACACGGUUCAAUGACACCCUCCGUUAUCCACAGGUCGUUUUUGCCUGAGGAGGUCAAUCUGUCUAAGGGUAGCUCCUAUGCAUCAAAGCAGAACCUCGUCCUCCCUUUCUCUCCCUCUCUCUCUCCCUCUCUCUCCCUCUCUCUCUCUCUCUCUCUCUCUCUCUCGUCUCCCUCCAGUAGUCCGGGGUCCUCCUCGCCCCGGGGCCAGGCUGUGACCACAAGAAGUAGGCUGGUGGUCCCAGCAGGGGCUGAGGCUCAGACACCAUUAGCAUGAGGGAAUUCGAGUCAUUACGACUGGAAGGGCAAUGGAGGACGAGUCCUUCGCUCCGCAGAGAAGUUAUGCUUGGAAAGUUGUGAAGAAGGAGACGGAAGUGAAAGGGGUUGAAUUGAAUAAUAAAAAAAAUAAUAAACAAUCCAUUAUAUUUGUCCAUGCAGUAAAUACUGUGGACAUUUUUAUGUUGAAUUGUGCAAAAUUAACUAUUGAGAAAGCUUAUUAAAAACAUGGUAGACUUUUGAGGACCACAUUAGGGAUUUUUAACAUGUGUCAAAGGAUGUAAUUCAAACUGUGGCCUAAUGAGGCUUUGUUUAGUAUCAUAUCCAACGUAGCCAUUUCAAAUAUUAAAGUUAUUGGAUUAAUAUUAGUAAAGGUUUAUAUGGUAAAUACUAAUUCUCAUCUAGGAGCCCAGAAUAAAACCAGACUUGCAUUUGACUUCUCCUGUUGGUCAUUGUGCCUUCUGCCAGACAGACACAGACACAAAUAACACGAGCAUGCUUUGCAAAUGUGUUAUUGUUUAAACCAGCAUUUAAUUCCAUCCCUGAGCAGUAAUGGAGCAAAGUGACACGGAAAGGAGCCUAAUUUCACACAUACAACCUAAAAAACAAAAUACUCACAUUAAACAAUAAAUAUGGUUCUUUUUUUUCCAAUUAGCAGUUGAUUUUAACGAUUUAACAUUGUAACCCAUGUCCAGCUUUUGUUUUACUGAACAACUAUCUCUGCCAGUUUGACUAAAACCAAGGCACAUGUGUAAAGUGGACUCCCCGCCUUCCCCAUGACCUUGUCUUUGAGGCUCCAUCGUCUCAUUAACUUCUGCCGGGCGGCCUGGGCCCCUUCCAUUAUCUCUACACGUCCAGAAUCCGGAGGAUGGACCGAGUAAUUAUCUGCUUUUUAAGCGAGGCCUGCGCGGCGACUCCGAGGCAACCGAGCACCCACUGGUCACUUUAACACCCAGACAGCGUGGGUGGAGACAGACAGAGCCACCGCUAAUGUGGCGCGUUCAUUUAUCUAGUCAUCGCAAUUAAAACUCUCAUUUCCAGCGUGCAAUAAUGUGUAAUAAUGGUUAGAACAAUUAAAGCCAAAUACACAAGACCGCUGAGAUAAUGAAGGGGUGAGUGCGCAGCGCUUUUGUUUGAGAAAAUAAGCUAUUUUAACUGUUGUUUGCCUUUGAUUUAACAUAGGAAUUCCAUUUCCAUUAACUUACAAAUGACUGCUCAUCACAGUGGUGGCAGAGUGCAAAUGAUCCCACCACGUUGUUUAGUGUCUCAUUUAAACUGGAUUAUACAUCAAGACACCAUCCUAAUUUAAAGUGGAGACUUCUAGUGAAGUCUCCUACAAACAGCGAGUAUAUAUAUAUUUAUAUAUAUACUGUAUAUAUAUAUACACGACCCUUUUGAGGAUAAACGGUUCUGAUGAUGGACCAACUCAUUUUGCACUGAGUGUAUUUGACUUUGACUCCUUAAUAACUCCCUACAGUAGGUGCAUUGUGGGUAAUAUACUGUAGGCUAGUUUGCAAGUUUUGACAAAAACGACAAAUGUUAAACACGUAUUCGCUAGUAGAGAAGUACUAAAAUAUCUCAUUUUAUACUGUAUGUUACUGUUUAUUUAUAGUUUAACCAUUAAAAAUAAGAGCUACUUUUGUAUUUAAGGCACUUAUUAAAACAACACAAAAUUCCUGCGUGACUGUAUUGUUUUCUGCACAACAGUACGUGGCAUCUUGUUCACUCUCAUCAUCACCACUGUUCCCAUCAUCAUCAUCAUCAUCUUCCUCAUCGUCCUCAGGUCGCCGGGGCUGUCGUCCCAGGCAGGUGUGUGACUCUCCGGGGCAAACUGCAACACGAAAGCCCUGAUGCUGCAGUCUGCCUAAUGUGCCAUCAUCAUCAUCAGGAGCCCUCAGCCUUCUCCUGCACCUGCGUCAUCAGCGCUGCAGUGAGCGGGAGAGGAGGCGCAGUCUUCUCCAGAUGUUUAGUGAAAAACCCCUGAGGUCGAGCGUCUGUGUCAGAGAGCGGGUGUGAAACGCGUGCACGACAUGAGCUCUGGGAGCUCCACUGUCCCAUUUUCAGCAGACGCCGACAGUGACUUCCUCUGUGAGAACACUAGAUGGAGGUGCUGACAAACUCUGGCACCUCAACACGACUUUUAUUUUGUCAGGUUAAAAUGUGCCAUUAGAUUUUGACCCACUGUCACUUGUGCAUUUUGUGGUCAUGUUUUUGUUGUGAGUUUGUAUUAAAUUCUGAAAAUUCUUAAAAAAAGUAAUUACAAAAGAAUUGAACCACAAAAAUAAGAUCUUUCUGUUUCCUCCGCCUGAGACAUUUGACCUGAAGUGUUUAAAACUUUGAAUGGCACAGUUGGUGAAAUCUGGCAAAAUCCGCCUUGUAACUUCAAUUCGGGGAGAGAAUAAAACAUGAACGUGACAUCAAAGUGAAUGAAACAUGGGUGAAAACGUUCCCCGAGGUGACAUCAAAUCUGCCAGCUUGAUUCACAAAUGUGGAAACAAGAGCUUGCAGGGCUGCUCCAGGAAAUCAAUAAUAAAUCUCGCGUGUGCGGAUAAAAUGCAGUGAUAAAAGCUAGAAAUGACAGCAGACAUCAGUGUUUUCUUUUUCCUCUCUCUAGCCGUCAGACUCACUUUCUGUGCAGCUAGCCAAAUUCAAAUGAGCUGAACAAUGCACUGUACAACAACAAAAAUUGUGACAUGAGAUUGUUAAAAUAUUAACAUUUCAUUGAAUAUUUUUUUUUUGUUAUGGUUGUUGUUGUUGUCCUUGAUUUCAGGAGUAAUAGUAAUAUCUGUGUCCAUUGUAAAAUAACAAUGUCCCUGAAUAAAAAAAUACAUAUUUUUGUACCUAUAUAUUGUCAUUAGUUUUGCUUGUCAUAUAUAUUGUUUAUGGUGCAUUAUAAUGAUGACCGGAUGUGUCCUCUCUGCAGCUUUUAGGCUCAUGAGGGAUCAGCUGACUGUCCUCACCAACAGGUGGCAGCAGGAUAAACAGGGAGGACUGACAACCAAAAGUCGCAGCAAACACUGUCUGAUCAAU